UUGACGGCACCCUACUAGAAAGGAGCCGCUAACUUCGUGCCAGAAGCGUCGGUAAUACGGGGGCUCCAAGCGUUAUCCGGUGUUAUUGGGCGUAAAGAGUCGUGUAGGUGGUUGGGUAAGUUAUCUUUCAAAUAUCUUUGCUUAACAAAGAGGAGGGGGAUAAUACUGCUCGACUAGAAUUUUCUCAAGGGAGAUCGGAACUGAGGGAGGAGUAGUGAAAUGCGUUGAUACCCUCGGGAACACCAGUGGCGUAGGCGGAUCUCUGGGAGACGAUUGACACUGAGACACGAGAGCUAGGGGAGCGAAGCAGAUUAGAGACCUGCGUAGUCCUAGCCGUAAACGCAUGCUUGCUAGCUGCAUGAAUCUACCUUCGGGUGGUAUCGUGUGGCGAAGGUAACCCGUUAAGCAAGCCGCCUGGAAAGUACGGCCGCAAGGCUGAAAUUCAAAGGAAUUGGCGGGGAGGCACACAACCAGUGGAACAUGUGGUUUAAUUCGAGACUAACCGAAGAACCUCACCAGGGUUUGACAUGUAGCUGCACGUCUUAAGAAAUUAAGACUCUCUUGAAGGUGCUACACAGGUGCUGCAUGGCUGUCGUCAGCUCGUUCCGUGAGGAGUGCCCUUAAGUGGGACAACGAGCGCAACCCCUAUUGCGUGUUAGAAAUGUCAUGUAAGACUGCCUUGCCAUUUGGCGGGGAGGAAGGAGGGGCAGACGUCAAGUCCGCAUGGUCCUUAUGCCCUGGGCUACACACAUGUUACAAUGAGUACGGCAAUGAGUCUGUCGCGAGCACGUAAGUGUAAGCUAAUCUCUUAAAUGUACUCUCAGUGGGGAUUGAGGUCUGCAACUCGACCUCAUGAACACGGAAUUGGUAGUAAUCGCGGGUCAGCUAUACCGCGGUGAAUACGUUCUGCCUCUGCACACACCGCCCGUCAAACCAGCAAAGUCGAU
rnacentral:rRNA from 1 species